rnacentral:rRNA from 1 species
UACGGGGGGGGGCACGCGUUGUUCGGAAUUACUGGGCGUAAAGGGCUCGUAGGCGGCCAACUAAGUCGGAUGUGAAAUCCCCAGGCUUAACCUGGGGAACUGCAUCUGAUACUGGAUGGCUUGAAUCCGGGAGAGGGAUGCAGAAUUCCAGGUGUAGCGGUGAAAUGCGUAGAUAUCUGGAGGAAUACCGGUGGCGAAGGCGGCAUCCUGGACCGGCAUUGACGCUGAUGAGCGAAAGCUAGGGGAGCAAACGGGG